rnacentral:lncRNA from 10 species
UGGAUAUAAGAACGUGCGUUUUACAUGGGACCAGAAGAUCAAGAUAGAGAUGUUUCCCAGUAUGGUCUUGAAUUCCUCAGCUCAAGCGACCCUCCUGCCACAGCCUCCCAAAGUUCUGGGAUUACAGGCAUGACCCACCAUGCCUGGCUACCUUGAGGACCUUAAAAGAGGGAGCAUAUCCUGAAUUAUCCAGGUGGACCCAAUGUAAUCUGAAGGGUCCCCAUAUGAGGGAGGUAGAGGAGGAUUUGACUACAGAACAGAAGGCAAUGUGACAACUGAAGCAAAAUGCUACAUGCUGGCUUGGAGGAUGGAGGAAGGAGCCAUAAGCCAAGGAAUGCCAGCAGUCACUGGGAGCUGAAAAAGGUGAAGAAAUGGACUCUCCCCGAGCCUGUAGAGCAAGUAUGGCCCUAUUGACCCUUGAUCUCAGCCAAGAGAAAUUGAUUUCAGACUUCUGACCCCCAGAACUGUACGGCAAUAAAUGUGUG